CAUUACGCUGCCUAUCGAAAAUCGGCACGAACUUUCCGAACAACCCAAUAUAUGGAUAAAAAACGAUUUGGCCUAGUGGCGCUAAAUCCUACACAAAUUCUAGAAGGUUCUAAAAUUCGAGGGAUUAACAGUGCACGAGAGACAUUCGCUAAGUACUGUAAUAGAAUUAAUUUACAGAAUUGUGAUAAAAUUUCACAAUACUGUAUUAAAGAGAGAUGUACCAACUCAGCUGUUAUAUUUCUCUCUAAUAUCUUUGAGUCGUCUGAUCUCAACGAUAAAUGCUGUACAUUAUACGUAAUAAAAUCAGUUUCUUGCAGUAC
rnacentral:lncRNA from 1 species